rnacentral:rRNA from 1 species
CACGUAGGGCGCAAGCGUUGUCCGGAAUUAUUGGGCGUAAAGAGCUCGUAGGCGGUCUGUUGCGUCCGCUGUGAAAACUCGGGGCUUAACCCCGAGCCUGCAGUGGAUACGGGCAGACUAGAGUGUGGUAGGGGAGACUGGAAUUCCUGGUGUAGCGGUGAAAUGCGCAGAUAUCAGGAGGAACACCGAUGGCGAAGGCAGGUCUCUGGGCCACUACUGACGCUGAGAAGCGAAAGCAUGGGGAGCGAACAGG